rnacentral:rRNA from 1 species
UACGAAGGGGGCUAGCGUUGCUCGGAAUCACUGGGCGUAAAGCGCACGUAGGCGGCUUUGUAAGUUAGAGGUGAAAGCCCGGGGCUCAACCCCGGAAUUGCCUUUAAGACUGCAUCGCUUGAAUCCGGGAGAGGUGAGUGGAAUUCCGAGUGUAGAGGUGAAAUUCGUAGAUAUUCGGAAGAACACCAGUGGCGAAGGCGGCUCACUGGACCGGCAUUGACGCUGAGGUGCGAAAGCGUGGGGAGCAAACAGG